AAGGAUGGUGGGAUUCAAACUCU
rnacentral:piRNA from 1 species